rnacentral:lncRNA from 1 species
UACACUGAUUUUCAAUUUACAUGCACUGUAAUGACUAUUAUAUAAUCUGUUUUCCACAGUAAAUAGUAGAUGAGAGGAUCCAGAAGCACUGCUUCCAGAGAUACUACAGAGAAAUUUACCUGGGCACCUCAAUUCACUUUUUAACCAAUGUGUUUUAACCUGUGUUUUGUUAGUUUCUAUCUUUAAUACAUGCCUAACUAAUGUUCUUAUUAAUAAAACUCCAUGAAAAGAGGAAAAGGAAGUAUUACAUGGCAGUGAAAUGUAACUGUAAUGGUUUAACUCAAAUGACCUGACAUAUCUUGGACAAAACUUUCCCAUCGGCAUUAUGGGAAGUGCCAAUACUUUAGAUGUAUAUGUUUAAUAAAUUGGCUGCCUUGAAAGGAAUAUCUUCAUAGGUUGCAACAAAAAGACAAAUCAAAGCAGAAACAACGUGGGGUAUUUGAAUGGCAAAUGAUGAUGGCAACCGUCGGGGCAAAGAUAAGGUUGGAGAAAAUAAAGUAAACUUAUGUAAGUCCAGUGAGAAUAAUGAUUUAAGGGGUUUAGAGAAAAUACAAAAAGCAGAUAAUACCUUGAUUAUGUACACAGGGAAAUGCAUUAAUGUUAUUUGCCACUUCCUUCUUCAUAUCUAUUGAGAAAAUAAAAACAAGAAAGACACUAUUAAUCCAAAAUGAGGGCCCAAUGUCAAGAAGAAAGGAAGACAGAACUUUCAAAGACUGUUACAGUUCUCACUGUGAUCCUAACUGGCACACAUUUCUGAGAAUUGGUGCUACAAGAUUGAAAACCAUCUCACCAAUCAGAAAAAAAAAAAAAAAACCUGUGUGUGUGUUUUACUUCCUUAUACCCCUUAUCGAAAAAGGAACAAGAUUGCAAAUACACCACACAAGGAUGUAG